rnacentral:rRNA from 1 species
AAUAGAUACCCGGUAGUCCACGCCGUAAACGAUGAGUGCUAAGUGUUAGAGGGUUUCCGCCCUUUAGUGCUGCAGCUAACGCAUUAAGCACUCCGCCUGGGGAGUACGGCCGCAAGGCUGAAACUCAAAGGAAUUGACGGGGGCCCGCACAAGCGGUGGAGCAUGUGGUUUAAUUCGAAGCAACGCGAAGAACCUUACCAGGUCUUGACAUCCUCUGCCAACCCUAGAGAUAGGGCGUUCCCCUUCGGGGGACAGAGUGACAGGUGGUGCAUGGUUGUCGUCAGCUCGUGUCGUGAGAUGUUGGGUUAAGUCCCGCAACGAGCGCAACCCUUGAUCUUAGUUGCCAGCAUUCAGUUGGGCACUCUAAGGUGACUGCCGGUGACAAACCGGAGGAAGGUGGGGAUGACGUCAAAUCAUCAUGCCCCUUAUGACCUGGGCUACACACGUGCUACAAUGGAUGGUACAAAGAGCUGCGAACCCGCGAGGGUAAGCCAAUCUCAUAAAGCCAUUCUCAGUUCGGAUUGU